rnacentral:rRNA from 1 species
CAGAGGGGUGCAAGCGUUAAUCGGGAAUUACUGGGCGUAAAGCGCGCGUAGGUGGUUUGUUAAGUUGGAUGUGAAAUCCCCGGGCUCAACCUGGGAACUGCAUCCAAAAACUGGCAAGCUAGAGUAUGGUAGAGGGUGGUGGAAUUUCCUGUGUAGCGGUGAAAUGCGUAGAUAUAGGAAGGAACACCAGUGGCGAAGGCGACCACCUGGACUGAUACUGACACUGAGGUGCGAAAGCGUGGGGGAGCAAACAGGAUU